ACAUGCAGAGAACUUCCUAGAGAUGGAUUGGUGCCUUCGGGAACUCUGACACAGGUGCUGCAUGGCUGUCGUCAGCUCGUGUCGUGAGAUGUUGGGUUAAGUCCCGUAACGAGCGCAACCCUUGUCCUUAGUUACCAGCAUGUUAUGGUGGGCACUCUAAGGAGACUGCCGGUGACAAACCGGAGGAAGGUAGGGGAUGACGUCAAGUCAUCAUGGCCCUUACGGCCUGGGCUACACACGUGCUACAAUGGUCGGUACAAAGGGUUGCCAAGCCGCGAGGUGGAGCUAAUCCCAUAAAACCGAUCGUAGUCCGGAUCGCAGUCUGCAACUCGACUGCGUGAAGUCGGAAUCGCUAGUAAUCGUGAAUCAGAAUGUCACGGUGAAUACGUUCCCGGGCCUU
rnacentral:rRNA from 1 species